UGAAUGGCCAGAUCACCUUGGACAAAUCAGAUGAAUACUGCUUAUUUUUUUUAAGGACAGAAAAACCCUGCUUUUCUGCCUCAGUGUGAAGCAUGCACUGAAUAUCCUCUAUGUGUAAAUGGAAAGCACUGGGAUUGAAGCUGGGGAGUAGAGGUCUGCUUGGAGAGUUGUGCCAUGUGCCUGCUGCAGGCUCAUCCCUGCUGGUUUUAACUGUGCUGACACCGGGCAGUGGAACAUAUUUCUCCCCUCCUCUCAGUGGCUGUGGAUGACUGUCUUUAGGAUUAGUUCUUUAUGGAAGCCACAGCAAUGAACAAGACACAAUCCUGGACCCCAUGAGCUCACAGUGAGUGACAGCAGCCACUACAGUGUUAACGAAAGUUUAAUUCGGAGGCCAAUGGGCUGGGAUGGCCCCAGCACUUUUAGUUCCUAUGUAAGCAAACCAAACUCCCGUGUAAAUGGUGAAAUGAAACGAGAGCCCUUACCAAUCAGAAACCACCAGCUGAACCCUAAGUAGGAAUUCUACCAUCCAGAAACUGCCAACUGACCUCUAAGUAGAGACUCCACCAAUCAGAAACUAUCAAUUAACUCUAAGUAGGGAUUUUUCAAACUAAUCCAACAUGUUUUGUUUUGUUUCCAGGAACAACUUAUGAAAUUUUCUGUCUCACCUCUGAAGCCCUAGAGAAGUGCUACACUGCUUGCAGUCUGGUGCUGCCCAAUUUAUGAACUGCUGUCUGUUCAAAUAAACUCCACAGAAUUUUAAUGUGCCUAAGUUGAUCUUUUAACAACAGAAAUGCCCAAACCUCAGGAAAACAAGGAUGGCUCACCCUAGAUAGCCAAGCAGGGCAUGAGACGACGUCCUGUGCAUGGGAGUCACCUAGCUGGUGAGUGAGCAGCUGGAUGUAGACCGUGCAUGCCAGAUUUUGUUUAAGGCUCUCCCAUGUGGGUGUGCAGCACAUGCACUGAUAUGAGCCACAUGGCCUCUUCCUGCCUGCAAAGCUUCCACUUGACACAUUUGCUGGCACUGAGCCAUCCUUGCAUUCCUGAGAUAAACCUUACAUGAUUGAGAGCCAUCACUGUGUUAAAAGUAUGGGCACAUGCAUAUUUAUUAGGUAUACAUAGGCAUACUUCUGUACCUGUAAAUGUCUAAUGUCUUAUUUAAUAUUUUCCAUCUGUUCCCAGCAGUCAAUCUGACCUAUAAUUUUCUUUUCUUAUUCUGUCCUUGGCCUGUUUUGUUACCAAGAAUAUAUCAUUCUCAUGUUAGCCAAGUAGCUUUCCCCUCUUUUGUAUUCCCUGGCACAUACUCACUCACUCUUUCUCUCUCUCUCUCUCAAGGAAAGAGAGAUCUAGUUAUUUAAAAUUAUGGAUUUAUUUACUGGUAGUAAGUUUAUUUGCAUUCUCACUGAAUUGUUCAAUUUUAUUUUUUAGACAAAUUGUCCUUUUUAUCUAGCUUUUUAAAUUUUACAUCAUAAAAUUGCUCAUUGUGUUAUAUUUUUUCAAAAAAUUAUAUUUCUAAUAGGCUUUAAAUUUUUUUUCUGAUUUGGUGAGUUUUGAUAGAGAUUGUCUAUUUUUAACUAACUAGCAUUUUGUUUUCUAUUUUGAUUAUUUUUUAUUUUAUAUUUAUCAUUUUCUUUCUCUUAUUUUAUUUAGCGUACUCUGUUCUUUUUCUAGCUCAUUUUGCUAUGUAAGUCAUUUAUUUUUAUUUUCCUUGUCAUUUUCCAAUAAAUACAUGUAUGAACUUUUAAGGUUGCAAUCUAAGUUGCAUUUUAGCUGUCUUCCUACAAAUACUGAUAUAAGUUCAUUUUAUAUUAAUUCCAAGUAUUUUACAAUAUUCAUUGCGGCACUGUUAAGUUAUGAAUUAUGGAGAAGAGUACUGUAUUGGUCAAUUUUCAUGCUGCUGAUAAAGACAUACCCAAGACUGGGCAAUUUACAAAAGAAAGAGACUUAUUGGACUUACGGUUCCAUGUAGCUGGGGAGGCCUCACAAUCAUGGUGGGAGAUGAAGGGCAUGUCUCACAUGGCAGCAGACAAGAGAAGAGAGCUUGUACAGGGAAACUCCCAUUUUUAAAACCAUCAGAUCUCAUGAGACUCAUUCACUAUCAAGACAACAGAGCAGGAAAGACCCACCCCCAAAAUUCAAUCACCUCCCAACAUGCUCUUUCCAUGACAUGUGGGGAUUGUGGGAGUUACAAUUCAAGAUGAGAUUUGGGUAGGGACACAGCCAAACCAUAUCAAGUGCUUUCUGUUGACAUUUGAUUAUUUUCAAGUAUAUGAGGAUGUUUGUUUAUAUUAUUUCUAACUCAACUGCAUUACAUUAUGAGGGAGUAGCCACAUCAUAUUUAUUCUUUAAAAUGUUUGUAAUUGAUUUUGUUACUCUUUGGGUUAUGCUUAAAAAGAGUGUUUAUUCUACACUUGGUAAUACAUAUUUAUCAUAUUACAUUUGUCGUUGUGUUGUUCAAAUCAUCUAUAUCCUCACUAAUUUGUCUGCUUGAGCAAUUCCUUUUCUGAGAAAAUAUACUGAAAUCUAUAAUUGUAGGUUUGUCAAUUUCUCCUUUUUAUUUUAUGAAAUUUAAUGCUAGUUGUAAAAAGCUUAUUAGUUCAUACUUAUUAUGCUCCUGAUUAAUUGGAUUUUUAACCUAUGUAGUGUUUCUUAUCUUUUAUUUUGUAUUUUGCCUUAACUAAAGUUUAUUAAAAUAAAGAUC
rnacentral:lncRNA from 1 species